GACGUAGGGCGCGAGCGUUGUCCGGAUUUAUUGGGCGUAAAGCGCGCGCAGGCGGUCCUUUAAGUCUGAUGUGAAAGCCCACGGCUCAACCGUGGAGGGUCAUUGGAAACUGGGGGACUUGAGUGCAGAAGAGGAAAGCGGAAUUCCACGUGUAGCGGUGAAAUGCGUAGAGAUGUGGAGGAACACCAGUGGCGAAGGCGGCUUUCUGGUCUGUAACUGACGCUGAGGCGCGAAAGACGUGGGGAGCAAACAGG
rnacentral:rRNA from 1 species